UGGGGAAUUUUGGACAAUGGGCGCAAGCCUGAUCCAGCCAUGCCGCGUGCGGGAAGAAGGCCUUCGGGUUGUAAACCGCUUUUGUCAGGGAAGAAAUCUUCUGAGUUAAUACCUCGGGAGGAUGACGGUACCUGAAGAAUAAGCACCGGCUAACUACGUGCCAGCAGCCGCGGUAAUACGUAGGGUGCAAGCGUUAAUCGGAAUUACUGGGCGUAAAGCGUGCGCAGGCGGUUUUGUAAGACAGAGGUGAAAUCCCCGGGCUCAACCUGGGAACUGCCUUUGUGACUGCAAGGCUUGAGUGCGGCAGAGGGGGGAUGGAAUUCCGCGUGUAGCAGUGAAAUGCGUAGAUAUGCGGAGGAACACCGAUGGCGAAGGCAAUCCCCUGGGCCUGCACUGACGCUCAUGCACGAAAGCGUGGGGAGCAAACAGGAUUAGAUACCCUGGUAGUCCACGCCCUAAACGAUGUCAACUGGUUGUUGGGAAGGUUCCUUCUCAGUAACGUAGCUAACGCGUGAAGUUGACCGCCUGGGGAGUACGGCCGCAA
rnacentral:rRNA from 1 species